UACGGAGGGUGCAAGCGUUAUCCGGAUUCACUGGGUUUAAAGGGUGCGUAGGUGGGUCUGUAAGUCAGUGGUGAAAUCUCCAAGCUUAACUUGGAAACUGCCGUUGAUACUAUAGCUCUUGAAUGUUGUGGAGGUGAGCGGAAUAUGUCAUGUAGCGGUGAAAUGCUUAGAUAUGACAUAGAACACCAAUUGCGAAGGCAGCUCACUACACAAAUAUUGACACUGAGGCACGAAAGCGUGGGGAUCAAACAGG
rnacentral:rRNA from 1 species